AAAACAUGUCUUUUUGAAAAUAAUAUAAAGUCUAAUCUGCCCACUGAUAAUUUAUUGAAGGGCUGCAGUAUAUUGACUGUACAAAGGUAGCAUAAUCAUUAGUCAUUUAAUUGAUGACUGGUAUGAAAGAUUGGAUGAGAUAUAUACUGUCUCUUAAUUAAUUAUAGAAUUUAAUUUUUUUAUUAAAAAGUUAAAAUAUUUUAAAAAGACGAGAAGACCCUAUAGAGUUUAAUAAAUUAAUAAAUUGAUUUUAUUUUGUAAAAUAAUACUGAAAUUUGAUAAUUUAUUUUGUUGGGGUGAUAAAAAAAUAAAUAAAACUUUUUUUAUAUAUAAACAUUUAUAAGUGAUUAAAUGAUCCAAUAAUAUUGAUUAUAAGAAAAAAUUACCUUAGGGAUAACAGCGUAAUUUUUUUUUUUAGUUCAAAUAAGAAAAAGAGUUUGCGACCUCGAUGUUGGAUUAAGAUAAAAUUUAAAUGUAGUAGUUUAAAAUUUUGAUCUGUUCGAUCAUUAAAAUCUUACAUGAUCU
rnacentral:rRNA from 1 species